GUUGUAUGGUUAAGUGACUAAGCGUAUACGGUGGAUGCCUUGGCAGUCAGAGGCGAUGAAGGACGUAGUAACUUGCGAAAAGCGUUGGCGAGCUAGUAACAAGCAUUUGAGCUAACGAUAUCCGAAUGGGGAAACCCACUCACAUAAGUGAGUAUCACAUACUGAAUACAUAGGUAUGUGAGGCAAACCCGGGGAACUGAAACAUCUAAGUACCCGGAGGAAAAGAAAUCAACCGAGAUUCCCCUAGUAGCGGCGAGCGAACGGGGAUUAGCCCUUAAGUCUAUAGGGUGUUAGUGGAAUGAGUUGGAAAGCUCAGCGGCACAGGGUGAUAGCCCCGUACAUGAAAACUAACUAUAGAUGAAAACGAGUAGGACGGGACACGUGACAUCUUGUCUGAACAUGGGGGGACCAUCCUCCAAGGCUAAAUACUCCUGACUGACCGAUAGUGAACCAGUACCGUGAGGGAAAGGCGAAAAGAACCCCUGUGAGGGUGAAAUAGAACCUGAAACCGUAUACGUACAAGCAGUGGGAGCGGUCCUUGAGACCGUGACUGCGUACCUUUUGUAUAAUGGGUCAGCGACUUACAUUUUGUAGCAAGGUUAAGCGAAUAGCGGAGCCGUAGGGAAACCGAGUGUUAACUGCGCGUUUAGUUGCAAGGUGUAGACCCGAAACCGAGUGAUCUAGCCAUGGGCAGGUUGAAGGUUGAGUAACAUCAACUGGAGGAACGAACACACGUAUGUUGAAAAAUGCGGUGAUGACUUGUGGCUGGGGGUGAAAGGCCAAUCAAACUCGGAGAUAUCUGGUUCUCCUCGAAAGCUAUUUAGGUAGCGCCUCGUACGAAUACCAUUGGGGGUAGAGCACUGUUAAGGCUAGGGGGUCAUCCCGACUUACCAACCCUUUGCAAACUCCGAAUACCAAUGAGUACUAUACGGGAGACACACGGCGGGUGCUAACGUCCGUCGUGAAAAGGGAAACAACCCAGACCAUCAGCUAAGGUCCCAAAGUUAUUGCUAAGUGGGAAACGAUGUGGGAAGGCUUAGACAGCUAGGAUGUUGGCUUAGAAGCAGCCAUCAUUUAAAGAAAGCGUAAUAGCUCACUAGUCGAGUCGGCCUGCGCGGAAGAUUUAACGGGCUAAGCAAUACACCGAAGCUAUGGGUUUGCUAGUUUACUAGCAAGCGGUAGAGGAGCGUUCUGUAAGCCGUUGAAGGCGAAGGGGUAACCCACGCUGGAGGUAUCAGAAGUGCGAAUGCUGACAUGAGUAACGAUAAAGGGAGUGAAAAACUCCCUCGCCGAAAGACCAAGGUUUCCUGUCCAAUGUUAAUCAGGGCAGGGUAAGUCGACCCCUAAGGUGAGGCCGAAAGGCGUAAUCGAUGGGAAACGGGUUAAUAUUCCCGUACUUCUACUAACUGCGAUGGAGAGACGGAGAAGGCUAGGCUAGCGCGGCGUUGGUUGUCCGCGUUUAAGGCUGUAGGCUGUUCACUUAGGCAAAUCCGGGUGAACGCAUUAAAUUGCAAAGCUGAGAGUUGAUGACGAGUCCCCAAGGGGAUGAAGUAGUUGAUGCCAUGCUUCCAGGAAAAUCUUCUAAGCUUCAGGUUAGUAGGAAUCGUACCCCAAACCGACACAGGUGGUUGGGUAGAGAAUACCAAGGCGCUUGAGAGAACUCGGCUGAAGGAACUAGGCAAAAUGGUACCGUAACUUCGGGAGAAGGUACGCUGCCGGCGGUGAUGGGACUUGCUCCUUAAGCUGCUGGCAGUCGCAGAUACCAGGUGGCUGCAACUGUUUAUCAAAAACACAGUACUGUGCAAACUCGCAAGAGGAAGUAUACGGUAUGACGCCUGCCCGGUGCCGGAAGGUUAAUUGAUUGGGUUAUCUUCGGAGAAGCUCAUGAUCGAAGCCCGGUAAACGGCGGCCGUAACUAUAACAAGGUAGCGAAAUUCCUUGUCGGGUAAGUUCCGACCUGCACGAAUGGCGUAAUGACGGCCACGCUGUCUCCAGCCGAGACUCAGUGAAGUUGAAAUUGCGGUGAAGAUGCCGUAUACCCGCGGCUAGACGGAAAGACCCCGUGCACCUUUACUAUAGCUUGGCACUGAACAUUGAACCUACAUGUGUAGGAUAGGUGGGAGACUUUGAAGCAGAGACGCUAGUUUUUGUGGAGUCAACCUUGAAAUACCACCCUUGUAGUUUUGAUGUUCUAACUCUGGCCCCUGAAUCGGGGUUGAGGACAGUGCCUGGUGGGUAGUUUGACUGGGGCGGUCUCCUCCCAAAGAGUAACGGAGGAGCACGAAGGUUGGCUAAGUACGGUCGGACAUCGUACGGUUAGUGCAAUGGCAUAAGCCAGCUUAACUGCGAGACAUACACGUCGAGCAGGUACGAAAGUAGGUCAUAGUGAUCCGGUGGUUCUGAAUGGAAGGGCCAUCGCUCAACGGAUAAAAGGUACGCCGGGGAUAACAGGCUGAUACCGCCCAAGAGUUCAUAUCGACGGCGGUGUUUGGCACCUCGAUGUCGGCUCAUCACAUCCUGGGGCUGAAGUCGGUCCCAAGGGUAUGGCUGUUCGCCAUUUAAAGUGGUACGCGAGCUGGGUUCAGAACGUCGUGAGACAGUUCGGUCCCUAUCUGCCGUGGGCGUUGGAUGAUUGAAGGAAGCUGCUCCUAGUACGAGAGGACCGGAGUGGACGAACCGCUGGUGUUCGGGUUGUUAUGCCAAUAGCAUUGCCCGGUAGCUACGUUCGGAAUCGAUAACCGCUGAAAGCAUCUAAGCGGGAAGCGAGUCCUAAGAUGAGUCAUCCCUAGGAAUUUAAUUCCUCUAAAGAGCCGUUCGAGACUAGGACGUUGAUAGGCAGGGUGUGUAAGCGUUGUGAGGCGUUGAGCUAACCUGUACUAAUGACUCGUGAGGCUUAACCAUACAACCCAGAUGGGUUUGU
rnacentral:rRNA from 17 species